AUUGAACGCUGGCGGCAGGCCUAACACAUGCAAGUCGAGCGGAUGACGGGAGCUUGCUCCUUGAUUCAGCGGCGGACGGGUGAGUAAUACCUAGGAAUCUGCCUGAUAGUGGGGGACCACGUUUCGAAAGGAACGCUAAUACCGCAUACGUCCUACGGGAGAAAGCAGGGGACCUUCGGGCCUUGCGCUAUCAGAUGAGCCUAGGUCGGAUUAGCUAUGUGGUGAGGUAAUGGCUCACCAAGGCGACGAUCCGUAACUGGUCUGAGAGGAUGAUCAGUCACACUGGAACUGAGACACGGUCCAGACUCCUACGGGAGGCAGCAGUGGGGAAUAUUGGACAAUGGGCGAAAGCCUGAUCCAGCCAUGCCGCGUGUGUGAAGAAGGUCUUCGGAUUGUAAAGCACUUUAAGUUGGGAGGAAGGGCAGUAAGCUAAUACCUUGCUGUUUUCACGUUACCGACAGAAUAAGCACCGGCUAACUCUGUGCCAGCCGCCGCCGUAAAAC
rnacentral:rRNA from 1 species